rnacentral:rRNA from 1 species
GAUGAACGCUGGCGGCGUGCCUAAUACAUGCAAGUCGAGCGAACAGACGAGGAGCUUGCUCCUCUGACGUUAGCGGCGGACGGGUGAGUAACACGUGGAUAACCUACCUAUAAGACUGGGAUAACUUCGGGAAACUGGAGCUAAUACCGGAUAAUAUAUUGAACCGCAUGGUUCAAUAGUGAAAGACGGUUUUGCUGUCACUUAUAGAUGGAUCCGCGCCGCAUUAGCUAGUUGGUAAGGUAACGGCUUACCAAGGCGACGAUGCGUAGCCGACCUGAGAGGGUGAUCGGCCACACUGGAGCUGAGACACGGUCCAGACUCCUACGGGAGGCAGCAGUAGGGAAUCUUCCGCAAUGGGCGAAAGCCUGACGGAGCAACGCCGCGUGAGUGAUGAAGGUCUUCGGAUCGUAAAACUCUGUUAUUAGGGAAGAACAAAUGUGUAAGUAACUAUGCACGUCUUGACGGUACCUAAUCAGAAAGCCACGGCUAACUACGUG